UACGGAGGGGGGCUAGCGUUGUUCGGAAUUACUGGGCGUAAAGCGCACGUAGGCGGCUUUGUAAGUUAGAGGUGAAAGCCUGGAGCUCAACUCCAGAACUGCCUUUAAGACUGCAUCGCUUGAAUCCAGGAGAGGUGAGUGGAAUUCCGAGUGUAGAGGCGAAAUUCGUAGAUAUUCGGAAGAACACCAGUGGCGAAGGCGGCUCACUGGACUGGUAUUGACGCUGAGGUGCGAAAGCGUGGGGAGCAAACAGG
rnacentral:rRNA from 1 species